rnacentral:rRNA from 1 species
GGGGAAUUUUCCGCAAUGGGCGAAAGCCUGACGGAGCAAUGCCGCGUGGAGGUAGAAGGCCCACGGGUCAUGAACUUCUUUUCCCGGAGAAGAAGCAAUGACGGUAUNUGGGGAAUAAGCAUCGGCUAACUCUGUGCCAGCAGCCGCGGUAAUANCAGAGGAUGCAAGCGUUAUCCGGAAUGAUUGGGCGUAAAGCGUCUGUAGGUGGCUUUUUAAGUCCGCCGUCAAAUCCCAGGGCUCAACCCUGGACAGGACGGUGGAAACUAUCCAAGCUGGAGUACGGUAGGGGCAGAGGGAAUUUCCGGUGGAGCGGUGAAAUGCGCAGAGAUCGGAAAGAGCACCAACGGCGAAAGCACUCUGCUGGGCCGACACGGACAUCUGAGAGACGAAAGCUAGGGGAGCGAAUGGGAUUAGAUACCCCAGUAGUC